rfam:Schistosoma curassoni strain Dakar, Senegal genome assembly, scaffold: SCTD_scaffold0005189
AGCCUUUUGUAUCCCUGCCGAGAUUUCUUCACACACCAGACCACAAGGGCUGAUGAGACUUCCAAUAUAAGUGAAGCG